UACAGAGGUCUCAAGCGUUGUUCGGAUUCAUUGGGCGUAAAGGGUGCGUAGGCGGCGCGGUAAGUCGGAUGUGAAAUCUCGGAGCUUAACUUCGAAACUGCAUUCGAUACUGCCGUGCUUGAGGACUGGAGAGGAGACUGGAAUUUACGGUGUAGCGGUGAAAUGCGUAGAUAUCGUAAGGAAGACCAGUGGCGAAGGCGAGUCUCUGGACAGUUACUGACACUGAGGCACGAAGGCCAGGGGAGCAAACGGG
rnacentral:rRNA from 1 species